GAUAAGGCCACAUCUAAAUUAUCACCAUACAUUUUAUUUAGUAAUGACAGUGAGAUGGAUAAAAAGCGUGAAUUCAUAAAUAUUAGUUAUAGACUGUUUCGUCGAACUGUAGAAUGAAAUAGGCUUUUGUAGAAUAAAAUCACAGUGAGUAUAUUUCGUUUGUGGUGUAACUAAAUAAGUUUUUGUAUAGGCUAGUAUGGCACACUUUGCAGUAUUUGGCUAGUAGCGGCAGCACUUGACUGGUAAUGGCAACACUAGUCUUGGAAGAACUGGAGCCAUAAGUAUGGGGACUUUCAUUUUCUUCCUGGUAUACAUUACGAAAACUCUCGUCGUGGGGGAAACCAAUGUUAGCUGUUUAAUAAUAAAUAGAGGCGACUGACGCCGCAAAAUCCUUUUUUUGGAUUCACACGUGGUAAGAUGCGCGUCGUGGGAUCAUUUUUGUUCCUGUAAUGAUUUGUAUGUGUAAAUUUUUAAAGAUAAUUUCUUAAGUUUUGAUAGAAGUGAAUGUAUGAGUACAAAAUGAUGUAACAUUUGAUCGACCAUGGAUAUAAUCAAGGUAAAUAUUUUAUUUGUUUAUACAAUUAACCAAUUAACGAUUACUUGUGUUUAAGUUAUCCUAAUCUGGAGAAGAUAUGUGUUACGUAAUUUAACCUAUACUAUCAAGCAGCGUCGAAAAUAUGAAUAAUAGAGACCAUAGACUUAAACGCGUAAUAAAAAUACAGGUGUAAUGUGUAUUGAACAAUUCGCAAUGUACGUUCUUCAUUUAAUUGUAUUUUACAAUAACUCUGAACUUUUAUACUUUUUAUUUAUGUAGCGUUAAUACGCAACUACCCACGAAUAUGUACAGGAACGUACAAUAUUAAGCAACAAAAUAUAUAUCUGCGACUAUUGUUGUGGGCCUAUAUGACUAUUCGUAACGAUUAACUUUUCAAUUUUUAUAGUUCAGCUUGUGAUGUGAUAUACGAAAUUCUUUUUAUUGACACAAAGAUUAUUUUUAUAAUAAAUCUUUUUAAAUUAAAAAUUAAAAUUAAUAAAAGGUUGUAAAAGUUUAUUUCGAAAUAUAUGUAAAUUGGAAUCUGAGAGUUAAACUGCCAUAGUUAUUUAUUUUUUAAAAUGUAUUUUAGCAGUAGUUGGUGAUGUUCAUAUUGUUUAUAUAUCGCUGUUAUAGUUCAUAGAUUAAAAUAUGAGUAUAGACAUAAAAGUAUAUUAGAUAUGAAUUAACAGAUAGGAAACCUUUAAUAUCCAUAUGUAGAUUUGUAGAGGCGCAUAUGUUGAAAACGCAGUUUAUCAAUUAAAAAUCACCUUUACAUGUUAAAAAUCAACUACCUCAGAAUGACUAUUAAUAACAUUAAUAUGUAAUAAAUAAGCAUUGAAAUAUUGAGCUGCCAUUGGUUCUUCUAUUUUUUGUCAUAGUUUAUAAAAUAAUAUACAUUUUCGGUAAUUUUGCAAGCCUUUAAGCUGUCGAGAACUGUAUGAAGUGAAGUUAUAUUUUAAUCAUCAAUGUAUCUGAACCACUGAUGCGUGAUUUUCUUUAAUUUCGCGAACAAUUGUCCCUUUUUCAUAAACAGUUCUUCUAUAAAUAUAAAUAUAAAAUUAUGAAGCAUUGCUUAUAAAAUUAUACUAUAAUACUUUAUUCAGAUUUUAAGAACUUGAUGAAUUUAAUUGACCGAUGAUUGAAAAAGAUCUGCUAAUGUCAUACAUCUUAAAAAGAUCCAUUUGAAAGCUUUAACAAGUAAGGCAAGAUAGAUCUUGAGAAUAUUUUGUGGAAUUCUAAAUAUUAUAGCUAUAAAUUCAUUCGUAACUUCUAAGUAAAAUAUACUACAAAGGUAGUAACAUCUUUAAUUUUACUGCUGUAAGUUGUUUGGUUUUAUUAAAAUCUGCUUAUCUAAUAACAUGUAAUGAAAUUUGAACGAAUAAUAACACAAUAUUGCGAGAUAUGGAAAAUAUAUCGUAACCUUUUAACGUAAUCGCAUAUAUAUAUUCAAUAUUAUACUCUUACAAAAUAAUCAUGCUACAAUUUCGAUAUUUUCAUGCAACAUUUGCACAUUUCAUAUAAUAACAUUCAAUUUAUUUAAUUUACUCUAAUUUUUUAGGCCUUCUAAAGUCUUUGGCUCUCUAGAAUCUUGAGAAUGGAAUUCGAAAUGCUUAAGUAAAUCUAUUCCUCUUCGAGGUAAACCAUUAUGGACCUCCUUUUAUACUUAUAUGGCGAGUCUCUUUUUUAUUGUCUUUAUUGUAGAAUGCAUGUAAACGUACGUUCUGUUUUUUAAUAAUACAAAUUUAUAAAGUUGAAAGGAAUGAAAGAGUAUUGUCACUGCACAAAAGUUUGUAAAAGAUUUAUUUUAAUCGGACAAGGAUUGAACUACGAUUUGCGUUCAGGGGUUGAUCGCGCCGUUACAUUAAACCAGGACCUUCCAAAGUUGUUUUCAGGAAAAUAAACGUCGUCCUUAGCUUGGUAGGUUUUUUUGAUUGCGAAAACGUAAACAUGUUACUGUUGAUAUUUUAGACCUCUUAGACUUGAUGAUGAAUAACCGUAACCUUCAUACGUUAACAAGGGAGAGCAGGGCUCCCUACCAUGGAUACCAAACGAAUGUUUUUCUUUUUUUCGCCGCGUAACUGUUACCUAGUUUUUGCUUUCCUUUAUAUAAUCCGAACGCAACCGCUACGAAGGAAAUAGUAUUUGGUAAAGUAAAUAAUAAGAAAGUCAAUACUAUUGUGCCUUUAAAUAUGGACGUUGUUUUCAAUCUAGAGGUUACUGCGUCUGCUAUUGGUAGUACAGUGGUUUGCGCCAAUGCCAUCUCGUAAGAGCGGGUGUGCAUAAAGUCCAAAUGGCGUGCAGUUAAGAAUAGAGAACAAUAGUCUAAAAUCUUUUAAUAGAUAAUGUUAACACUUUGGAGACUGGAGACGCGAAUUCGCGUCCUUCAUACUUCAUUUAGUAUCCUAUAAAAAUUUUAACUACUGUUGAAUAAAACAGUAAAAAAGCAACGAAUGCUAUGAACGAAAUAUUAUGAAAGUAUUUUUACAUUACAUGCUUGAUUAAUACGAAAUCAUUAUCAAUAUACUGAUGUAGUAUCGACUGCUUGAGAGGUUCGUUUCGAUUUAAGAAUUUGGUCGAUAUAAAAAGUAAUAUUGAAAAGUGGUAGAUGCGUGUUCGAUCAAGAUUCUGGGAUAAGUGCCCUGCCGUCUCUCAUGGUCCACUUACUGGAAGAUACGGCAUCUUCCCUACUUUGUGUAAGAAAUACUAAGCGAAUUAACCUUUUGGACUUGACGACUUUUUCGAUGAUUGAUUGAACUGCAGAGUGUUUUACAGGUAGACAAUUAAUUAAUUUAUCUAUAUUUACAUUUUUGAAAAUAUGAUCUUGUAAUAUUAAUUUCUGCACCUUUGUAUGAUAUUGUAUGAUAAUUUAUAAAGCAUUCACCAAGAUGCAUCCUGGGUUUGGCCAAAAUUCUUCUUUAGUGACAUUAUGCCAUGUUUGUCAAAUUAACUGUGAUGAUAAUGCCCUCUCCCCUAUCUUUUUUAUAGCAUAAUUGUUUCUUUUAGCUAUUGUUUGAUCUAUUAUUUUGUCGACAAAAAAUAUCUAAAAAGAAAUCCAUCGGUUGUUCAACAUUUGAGGAUACCUGCGGCUCUGCAGGUUUUUGGCUGCCUAUGAAUUUUAUUCUUAGUGGUAUUUCGCUAGAUUCCUCACAAAUUAUCCAUUCUAAAUUAUUAGAAUCCUGUGGGGCAUCACUGUCACUUUCGGAAUCACCAUCUAUUAUUAUAAUUUUUCGAUUUCUUACAUCUAAUACUGUGUCACUAUAUUCAUCAUUGCUUUCAUUUUCUCUAUCGUUAUCUCUAUAUUCUUUCAUCAAUACAAUCGAUCUCCUUUCUCAACAGUUCAAAAUCAAAUUCAUCUUCAUUUGAGCUAAUUUCACUUCCGAAAUCCAUUUUUGAGGGCUUUUAAACUAUAAUACUUUUGCUAUGGUCGUCGAAUUCGGACUGACGUCGAAGAUGUCAGAACCAUAGUUUCGGAAGUUUUGAGAUUAAAUAUUUCAUCUUUACUUUAUACUUCCUAACAAAGAACAUAAAGAGCUAUUUAUGAAUCGGCUGUAUGCUCUCAUCAAUUAUAGACGUCGAAAUCUAGCAUAAACACAGACUGUCGCCUCUCACUCGCCACUCAAGUUGACGCACGAAACGCCGUGGCGAUUGAGACUCGGCUCUUAAGCAGAAAGGGUUAAAGGCAGUCACGUUUACAACACGUUCUAUAAAUUCGGGAAUGCCGAACUCGCGUGAUUUUACAUAGACGUUCGUACAUGUCGACGAUUGUACAUCGGUGUCGUAGCUGUGAAGAAGGUCAAAAUUCUCUUAGUAUGUGCGCUAGCAAGAGAGAAAGUAUCGUUUUCGAUACUCCCAAGUGGCUUUGCUAUCUUUUCUUAGACUCACGUUUCCAGGCAUCGCAAUCGUAAGACGUCGGUGCCGCUGGCCCAUAUAAAUGGCUCAUGUCACUAAUACUCAUGCCACAAAAAUACACUCAUGCGAGUGAGGGAAUUUAUGGCACCCUCAAGUGUUGACGUUUCUGCUGAUUUCGAGUCAUCGGACACACGCGCGUACCUUGGAGAUCGGCAACAAAAUUUUCUAUCUCCGAUUCGUAAACAGAAAACCGCGAUUCUUAGAAGUCGCUGCGUCUUCGCUAUAGAGUACUCGACGCUUUUAUUUAGUAAUGAGAGGACAGUAAAAAAUGAGAGAUCAGUCUGUUGAAUAUGGCGCAGAAAUUUGUGCACGUGUGUUGUCAGAUAUACCAUGUGAUACCGAAAGUGAAGAUAAUAUUAGUGAUAAUGGUAUUGAUGGAAAUUGAUUUUACUUGAAAUAGAAGCAUUCGUCACUUGUUGAGUGACGCUACUCAGACAGUAGCGAAGAAGAUGUCGAAGACCUUCUUAUAUCUUACGAAACAAAUUCAUGGACCAAGCAAUACAAAAUUCCUGUUCUGGAAGAUUUUAUAGGUAACCCUGGAGUAAAGCAAUUUCCAUCCGAUUAUACUAGCGUUAAUUAAAUCGUAAGUUUAUUCUUUGGAAGUGAUUUCUUUGAAAUGCUUUACCGCGAAAUCAACCUAUAUUAUUAUCAAAAUGAAUAUAGAUGGAAGUAAAAUCCUAAAAUACUAACGUGAGUAGAUGUAGAAAUGAAAAAAAAUGAAAAAAUUUCUUGUUCUUGUUUUCCUUAUGGAACAUGUAAGAAAGGAUCAUUUUAAAUUGGUCUACUGAUUCAUAUUUAGAAACUCCGAUUUUUGCAAAAGCAAUACUACAGUAAUACUCCGAUUUGCAAGGUAUCAUACCAUGGAGAGGAAAACUAAAAUUUUGAACAUAUAACCUGGCAAAGAUUGUAAAACAUGGUCUCCUCGUUCGAGUAAUAUGUGAAACUACUACAGGAUAUAUUGGGAAUAUUGAAAUUUAUGGAGGAAAGGGGAAAAGAUUCAAGGAAACAAUUUUAUCUCCUUCAGAACCAUAUCUCGAUCAAUGGUACCACGUCUACUAAGAUAAUUAUAAUAGUGUAAAAAUUGCUGAAAAUUUACUCAAGAAUAAAGUAAGAAUAUGUAAAACUACCACA